GAUGAACGCUGGCGGCGUGCCUAAUACAUGCAAGUCGAGCGAACAGACGAGGAGCUUGCUCCUCUGACGUUAGCGGCGGACGGGUGAGUAACACGUGGAUAACCUACCUAUAAGACUGGGAUAACUUCGGGAAACUGGAGCUAAUACCGGAUAAUAUAUUGAACCGCAUGGUUCAAUAGUGAAAGACGGUUUUGCUGUCACUUAUAGAUGGAUCCGCGCAGCAUGAGCUAGUUGGUAAGGUAACGGCUUACCAAGGCAACGAUGCGUAGCCGACCUGAGAGGGUGGUCGGCCACCCUGGAACUGAGACACGGUCCAGACUCCGACGGGAGGCAGCAGUAGGGAAUCUUCCGCAAUGGGCGAAAGCCUGACGGAGCAACGCCGCGUGAGUGAUGAAGGUCUUCGGAUCGUAAAACUCUGUUAUUAGGGAAGAACAAAUGUGUAAGUAACUAUGCACGUCUUGACGGUACCUAAUCAGAAAGCCACGGCUAACUACGUG
rnacentral:rRNA from 1 species